rnacentral:rRNA from 1 species
UAAGGAAUAUUGGUCAAUGGACGCAAGUCUGAGCCAGCCAUGCCGCGUGAAGGAUGAAGGUCCUCUGGAUUGUAAACUUCUUUUAUCUGGGACGAAAACGGGAUUUUUAUCUCAAUUGACGGUACCAGAGGAAUAAGCACCGGCUAACUCCGUGCCAGCAGCCGCGGUAAUACGGAGGGUGAGAGCGUUAUCCGGAUUUACUGGGUUUAAAGGGUGCGUAGGUGGGCUUAUAAGUCAGUGGUGAAAUCU